UGGGGAAUAUUGCACAAUGGGCGAAAGCCUGAUGCAGCAACGCCGCGUGAGUGAUGAAGGUCUUCGGAUUGUAAAGCUCUGUCUUUUGGGACGAUAAUGACGGUACCAAAGGAGGAAGCCACGGCUAACUACGUGCCAGCAGCCGCGGUAAUACGUAGGUGGCGAGCGUUGUCCGGAUUUACUGGGCGUAAAGGGUGCGUAGGCGGAUGUUUAAGUGAGAUGUGAAAUACCCGGGCUUAACUUGAGUGCUGCAUUUCAAACUGGAUAUCUAGAGUGCAGGAGAGGAGAAUGGAAUUCCUAGUGUAGCGGUGAAAUGCGUAGAGAUUAGGAAGAACACCAGUGGCGAAGGCGAUUCUCUGGACUGUAACUGACGCUGAGGCACGAAAGCGUGGGUAGCAAACAGGAUUAGAUACCCUGGUAGUCCACGCCGUAAACGAUGAGUACUAGGUGUAGGAGGUAUCGACCCCUUCUGUGCCGCAGUAAACACAUUAAGUACUCCGCCUGGGAAGUACGAUCGCAAGAUUAAAACUCUAAAGUGAAUUGACGGGGUC
rnacentral:rRNA from 1 species